CAUUUACGCUGCUGCCAGCUGAUCUUGUCUGAUCUCAGAAANAAAGCAGGACAGGGCCAUUUAGUACUCGUCUGGGAGACUUCCUGGGGAUACCAGAAUGA
rnacentral:rRNA from 1 species